UACAGAGGUCUCAAGCGUUGUUCGGAUUCAUUGGGCGUAAAGGGUGCGUAGGUGGGCAGGUAAGUCAGUGGUGAAAUCUCCGGGCUUAACCCGGAAACUGCCGUUGAUACUAUCUGUCUUGAAUACUGUGGAGGUAAGCGGAAUAUGUCAUGUAGCGGUGAAAUGCUUAGAUAUGACAUAGAACACCAAUUGCGAAGGCAGCUUACUACACAGUUAUUGACACUGAGGCACGAAAGCGUGGGGAUCAAACAGG
rnacentral:rRNA from 1 species